AUUGAACGCUGGCGGCAUGCCUUACACAUGCAAGUCGAACGGCAGCACGGGUGCUUGCACCUGGUGGCGAGUGGCGAACGGGUGAGUAAUACAUCGGAACGUACCUUAUCGUGGGGGAUAACGCAGCGAAAGCUGUGCUAAUACCGCAUACGCCCUGAGGGGGAAAGCGGGGGAUCGAAAGACCUCGCGCGAUUAGAGCGGCCGAUGCCUGAUUAGCUUGUUGGUGGGGUAAAAGCCCACCAAGGCGACGAUCAGUAGCUGGUCUGAGAGGACGAUCCGCCACCCUGGGACUGAGACACGGCCCAGACUCCUACGGGAGGCAGCAGUGGGGAAUUUUGGACAAUGGGGGCAACCCUGAUCCAGCAAUGCCGCGUGAGUGAAGAAGGCCUUCGGGUUGUAAAGCUCUUUUGUCAGGGAAGAAACACCGGCUCUAACACAGUCCGGGAAUGACGGUACCUGAAGAAUAAGCACCGGCUAACUACGUGCCAGCCGCCGCGGUAA
rnacentral:rRNA from 1 species